rnacentral:misc_RNA from 1 species
GAUGAAGAACGCAGCGAAAUGCGAUAAGUAGUGUGAAUUGCAGAAUUCAGUGAAUCAUCGAAUCUUUGAACGCACAUUGCGCCCUGUGGUAUUCCGCAGGGCAUGCCUGUUCGAGCGUCAUUGACACCCUCAAGCUCUGCUUGGUCUUGGGCGUUUGUGCCUGCCGUUGCGCAGGGACUCGCCUCAAACUCAUUGGCAGCCUGCCUUUGCCGGUCUUUGCACAGCACAGUCGUGCCAAAGCCGCGGUGAGCAGGCGCUCCACAAGCCCUUUUCAGCUUGACCUCGGAUCAGGUAGGAAUACCCGCUGAACUUAAGCAUAUCAAUAAGCGGAGGA